rnacentral:ncRNA from 1 species
CGCUAGGGAUAAACUGUUAGUCCCUUUAUAUAGAGAUAUAUAGAAUAACAAUCGGGUGAAUUGCAAGAAUAUCACCCACCUCCUUUGGAGGUGGGUGACAAUUUGCAGCGAAGUAUAUAUUAGCUUAAUAAUAAAAUAUUAUUUAGAUAUAUAAACGUUCAACGACUAGAAGGUGAGUAAGCUAACAAUAACCCUUCCACGAGCGCCCGACAUCUUAAUGAACCAACAAUUACAAUUAAUUAAAGGUCAUUAUGAUGAUGACAUAGUCUGAACUAAAUAGUGAUAUUUAG